UAAUAAAUCUUUUGCCAGCAGGGUCAUUAAGGGAAGACAUCUCCUGUUUAUCCUCAAGAUACAGCUGCUGGCUGAAUAAAAGACAAGUUAACUCCUUGCAAGCAGAGGGCACCAUACAAAUGACGAUACACACCUUUCUACCUGAAGAAUAGGAGCAUGACUGUCUCCAUGGAAACACAUUUGUAGACUUGCAGCCCGUCUACACUCUGUGGGUGACAGGGCCUCGUCCUGCUGUGCCCCAGGACUCUGGAAUUCUGUCCCAAGGGAUUUCAGAGAGUCACCUUCCCUGAGACUCAAAAGCUUUUUUUUUAAAGGGGUUUUACUUAACUGGUUUGGUGUGGCCCUUUGGUGUCCUAUUGUAUUCCAUAACCCCAUCUACUAUCUCCUCUCAUUGUGCAGUUUUGUGCUGUUGUGCUGUAAUGAGCUACAGGAAGACCCUUUGAAAGGCACUACAUAAAAAUAAAGUUUAGUAUUAUUUGCUAACUGCCAUGAUACAUCACAAGGUCAGAGAACAUGGGCGCAUUCAGCACAAGAAGCUACUUACAAACCAGCAGAGCACUGUUCUGGGUCAUGUGUAAACUCAUUCACUACACUCAUGUGUUUUGUGCUGCAUCCACACCAAUGUAAGUAAUUGAGUUCAAGUUAAGGGUAUCUGAAAGUUAAAAUUCUCUUUAAAUCCCUUGCCUGGAAGCUGUUGAUCUAUCCCAUUGUCUGGAAUGCUGGGUCUAAAAGAAAACAAGGCCCACAGAAGAAACAAUUCCCACAUGUGCUGGAGGGUGCUGGACAUUCUCCUUGGCUGUACCAAAUACCCACGGAAGGUCACUGGGCGUUUGUGAUCACACCGCUUUUACAUUUAGCUAUUUGAGUUCCAUUCUUUGUCUUUUAUUUUUGUUAAAAAUGUUCAGACUUUCAUGAAAAUGUUAUUUAGCUGUUUUUUAUAAAUAUUA